ACAGUCUUGAGGGAACACUGCUGGUGUGUUUGGUUACUUUUAACUUGUAUUUUAUCCUCAUUUUCUUCUCUCUUUCGAGUCCUUGCAUGUUCUAUAUCUAUAAUUGCCACCAAUUAUUAGUGAAGGUGUAAGAGACUCGUUUAAUGCCUCAGACACAAGUUUUAUCCUUGCUGCUAAUAACAUUGAGUUUUUGAAGCAAGCACAAGCCUCCAG
rnacentral:misc_RNA from 1 species